rnacentral:rRNA from 1 species
CCAGCCGCCGCGGUAAGACGGAGGAUGCAAGCGUUAUCCGGAAUGAUUGGGCGUAAAGCGUCCGCAGGUGGCAAAUCAAGUCUGCUGUUAAAGCGCAGGGCUUAACUCUGUAAAGGCAGUGGAAACUGAUUAGCUGGAGUAUGGUAGGGGUAGAGGGAAUUCCCAGUGUAGCGGUGAAAUGCGUAGAGAUUGGGAAGAACAUCGGUGGCGAAGGCGCUCCGCUGGACCAUAACUGACACUCACAGGACGAAAGCUAGGGGAGCGAAUGGGAUUAGAUACCCCAGUAGUCCUAGCCGUAAACGAUGGAUACUAGGUGUUGUCUGUAUCGACCCGGACAGUGCCGUAGCUAACGCGUUAAGUAUCCCGCCUGGGAGUACGCACGCAAGUGUGAAACUCAAAGGAAUUGACGGGGGCCCGCACAAGCGGUGGAGUAUGUGGUUUAAUUCGAUGCAACGCGAAGAACCUUACCAGGACUUGACAUGUCCGGAAUCCCCUUGAAAGAGGGGAGUGCCUUCGGGAGCCGGAACACAGGUGGUGCAUGGCUGUCGUCAGCUCGUGUCGUGAGAUGUUGGGUUAAGUCCCGCAACGAGCGCAACCCUCGUUUUUAGUUGCCAGCAUUAAGUUGGGCACUCUAAAGAGACUGCCGGUGACAAACCGGGGGAAGGUGGGGAUGACGUCAAGUCAGCAUGCCCCUUACGUCCUGGGCUACACACGUACUACAAUGGUAGGGACAGAGGGCAGCCAACUCGCGAGAGUGAGCUAAUCCCGUGAACCCUGCCUCAGUUCAGAUCGCAGGCUGCAACUCGCCUGCGUGAAGGCGGAAUCGCUAGUAAUCGCCGGUCAGCAUACGGCGGUGAAUCCGUUCCCGGGCCUUGUACACACCGCCCGUCACACCAUGGAAGUUGGCCAUGCCCGAAGUCGUUACUCUAACUCGCAAGAGAGGAGGAUGCCGAAGGCAGGGCUGAUGACUGGGGUGAAGUCGUAACAAGGUAACCAAG